AGAGGGAUGGCAGAGUGGUCGAUUGCGGCGGUCUUGAAAACCGCAGACCUCUUGCGGGGUCCGGGGGUUCGAAUCCCUCUCCCUCUACGA
rnacentral:tRNA from 1 species